rnacentral:rRNA from 1 species
GAUGAACGCUGGCGGCGUGCUUAACACAUGCAAGUCGAACGAAACACCUUAUCUUAUUUUCUUCGGCACCGAAGAUUUGGUGAUUGAGUGGCGGACGGCUGCGUAACGCGUGGGUAACCUGCCCUGUAAAGGGGGAUAAUACUCCGAAAUGACUGCUAAUACCGCAUAAGACUCUUGCACCCCAUGGCGCAGGGGUAAAAACUCCGGUGGUACAGGAUGGACGCGCGUCUGAUUAGCUGGUUGGUCAGGUAACGGAUCACCAAGGCGACGAUCAGUAGCCGGGAAGUGAGAGAGAGCCGCCACAUUGGGGCUAGGACACAGCCGGAACUCCUAGGGGAGGGGGGAGUGGGGAAUAUAGCACAGUGGGGGGAACGCUGAAGGAGCUACGCCGGGUAAGUAAAGAAGUAUGGCGGUAAGUGAAGCUCUAUAAGCAGGGGAGGAAUUGACGGUACCUGAAUAAGAAGCCCCGGCUAACUACGUG